rnacentral:tmRNA from 1 species
GGGGGCGACAGGCUUCGACGUGUAAGAAUCGGAGCGUUUGUGGCGUGCCGAGGACACCGGUUGGCCUCGUAAAUCAUCCGGUAACCAUACAAGUGCCAACGAAGAAUUGGCCCUCGCUGCGUAAAUAACGCAGUGGCGUCGCUACUCUGACACCUGCUAGGGGAUAGCGGCGACGACAGCAGGUUAGCUCCAAUCCCGGGUAACCGGGGGUGCGGAGCGAAGUUUUUUUCCGGUUACUGGCGACCGGGAUUGCCCGUUCAUCGGCGGCCCGCGAGCGACACUUAAAGAUGGACUACGCACGUAGAAGCAGACGUAACGCUUGCACGGACGGGGGUUCGAAUCCCCCCGCCUCCACCA